rnacentral:rRNA from 1 species
UACAGAGGGUGCGAGCGUUGUCCGGAAUCACUGGGCGUAAAGGGCGCGUAGGUGGCGAUCCAAGUCCAUGGUGAAAGCUCGAUGCUCAACAUCGAGUCGGCCACGGAUACUGGGUUGCUUGAGCACUGUAGGGGCAGAUGGAAUUCCGGGUGUAGCGGUGGAAUGCGUAGAGAUCCGGAAGAACACCGGUGGCGAAGGCGGUCUGCUGGGCAGUUUCUGACACUGAGGCGCGACAGCGUGGGGAGCAAACAGG